rnacentral:tRNA from 1 species
UCUAAUAUGGCAGAUGG